AGAAGCACACACACUCACACACACACACACACACAAAAAAAAAAUUAGGAGAAGGGCUUAAGUAAAGGCACGGGGAGAAGAGAGCAGGAGCAGACAGGAUGAGUGUUG